CACGUAGGGCGCAAGCGUUGUCCGGAAUUAUUGGGCGUAAAGAGCUCGUAGGCGGUCUGUUGCGUCUGCUGUGAAAACUCGGGGCUUAACCCCGAGCCUGCAGUGGAUACGGGCAGACUAGAGGUAGGUAGGGGAGAAUGGAAUUCCCGGUGUAGCGGUGAAAUGCGCAGAUAUCAGGAGGAACACCGAUGGCGAAGGCAGGUCUCUGGGCCAUAACUGACGCUGAGAAGCGAAAGCAUGGGGAGCGAACAGG
rnacentral:rRNA from 1 species